UGGGAGCUUGCUCCCUGAGAUUAGCGGCGGACGGGUGAGUAACACGUGGGCAACCUGCCUAUAAGACUGGGAUAACUUCGGGAAACCGGAGCUAAUACCGGAUACGUUCUUUUCUCGCAUGAGAGAAGAUGGAAAGACGGUUUACGCUGUCACUUAUAGAUGGGCCCGCGGCGCAUUAGCUAGUUGGUGAGGUAAUGGCUCACCAAGGCGACGAUGCGUAGCCGACCUGAGAGGGUGAUCGGCCACACUGGGACUGAGACACGGCCCA
rnacentral:rRNA from 1 species